rnacentral:ncRNA from 1 species
ACGGAAGCCCGGUGAGGCCAAGGUCGAUCCGGAGGAGAAGGAUCGUUCUCCCGAGUCGGGCGCCCAGCAUGGAACCCGGCACCCACGCGGAGUCAUAGCCGCGAUAAUGGCAGAAGUGUUGCGGGCCUGCGUAAUUGCGAAAAGCGGAAGGCGUCGACGGCCCUUUGGGUGGGGCUGCAGCCGAAAGCAUCGCAAGAUCGCCGAGGCCAACCCACGCAGCCCAGAAAAUGCACGCUUGGUAACCGAGUUCCGUGCUAGCGGGCGGCGGACCGAAUAUUUCGGGACGUCGCCCGCUUUACAUU